rnacentral:rRNA from 1 species
UACGUAGGGUGCGAGCGUUAAUCGGAAUUACUGGGCGUAAAGCGUGCGCAGGCGGUUUUGUAAGCCAGAUGUGAAAUCCCCGGGCUCAACCUGGGAAUGGCAUUUGGGACUGCAAGGCUGGAGUUUGGCAGAGGAGACUGGAAUUCCUGGUGUAGCAGUGAAAUGCGUAGAUAUCAGGAGGAACACCGAUGGCGAAGGCAGGUCUCUGGGCUGAAACUGACGCUCAAGCACGAAAGCGUGGGGAGCAAACAGG